rnacentral:rRNA from 1 species
CCUANGGGUGGCUGCAGUAGGGAAUCUUGGGCAAUGGGCGAAAGCCUGACCCAGCCAUGCCGCGUGAAUGAUGAAGGUCUUAGGAUUGUAAAAUUCUUUCACCGGGGACGAUAAUGACGGUACCCGGAGAAGAAGCCCCGGCUAACUUCGUGCCAGCAGCCGCGGUAAUACGAAGGGGGCUAGCGUUGCUCGGAAUUACUGGGCGUAAAGGGCGCGUAGGCGGAUCGUUAAGUUAGGGGUGAAAGCCCAGGGCUCAACCUUGGAACUGCCUUUGAUACUGGCGAUCUGGAGUACGGGAGAGGUGUGUGGAACUCCGAGUGUAGAGGUGAAAUUCGUAGAUAUUCGGAAGAACACCGGUGGCGAAGGCGACACACUGGCCCGUUACUGACGCUGAGGCGCGAAAGCGUGGGGAGCAAACAGGAUUAGAUACCCGGNUANUC